AGGGAUCAGAGCAAGCAGUGGGAAUUCAGGUCAAACCAGAGAUGUUGGACAGCAAACCACAGGAACUCCUCAAGGUCGCACUGAAACAUCAUCUCAUCCAUAAUGUCUCACAGCAUCUUGAUGUCAUGUGCCUCCUGACUUCAGGAAGUCCAGCAUUUAGUUCUCGGCGGAC